GUGCCAGCAGCCGCGGUAAUACGUAGGGUCCAAGCGUUAUCCGGAAUCACUGGGCGUAAAGCGUGCGUAGGUGGAUAGUUAAGUGCAAUGCGAAAUCCUGUGGCUCAACCAUAUGGACUGUAUUGCAUACUGGCCGUCUAGAGGACAUGAGAGGCAAGUGGAAUUACCGGUGUAGCAGUGAAAUGCGUAGAGAUCGGUAGGAACACCAAUGGCGAAGGCAGCUUGCUGGCAUGUAUCUGACGCUAAGGCACGAAAGCGUGGGGAGCGAACAGGAUUAGAUACCCCCGUAGUCC
rnacentral:rRNA from 1 species